CCUGGCGGCGAGUGGCGAACGGGUGAGUAAUGUAUCGGAACGUAUCCUGUAAUGGGGGAUAACCAGUCGAAAGAUUGGGUAAUACCGCAUACGCACGAGAGUGGAAAGUGGAGGAUCGCAAGACUUCACGUUAUAGGAGCGGCCGAUAUCUGAUUAGCUAGUUGGUGGGGUAAAGGCCUACCAAGGCGACGAUCAGUAGCAGGUCUGAGAGGAUGAUCUGCCACACUGGGACUGAGACACGGCCCAGACUCCUACGGGAGGCAGCAGUGGGGAAUUUUGGACAAUGGGCGAAAGCCUGAUCCAGCCAUGCCGCGUGCAGGAAGAAGGCCUUCGGGUUGUAAACUGCUUUAGUUCGGGAAAAAGGGAUGCUUGGUUAAUACCCAGGUGUUUUGAUGGUACCGGAAGAAUAAGCACCGGCUAACUACGUGCCAGCAGCCGCGGUAAUACGUAGGGUGCGAGCGUUAAUCGGAAUUACUGGGCGUAAAGCGUGCGCAGGCGGUCUUGUAAGACAGUCGUGAAAUCCCUGGGCUUAACCUAGGAACUGCGAUUGUGACUGCAAGGCUAGAGUGUGUCAGAGGGGGGUGGAAUUCCACGUGUAGCAGUGAAAUGCGUAGAGAUGUGGAGGAACACCGAUGGCGAAGGCAGCCCCCUGGG
rnacentral:rRNA from 1 species